UGUCUGAAUAUGGGGGGACCAUCCUCCAAGGCUAAAUACUCCUGACUGACCGAUAGUGAACCAGUACCGUGAGGGAAAGGCGAAAAGAACCCCUGUGAGGGGAGUGAAAUAGAUCCUGAAACCGCAUGCAUACAAGCAGUGGGAGCACCUUCGUGGUGUGACUGCGUACCUUUUGUAUAAUGGGUCAGCGACUUAUAUUCAGUAGCAAGGUUAACCGUAUAGGGGAGCCGUAGAGAAAUCGAGUCUUAAUAGGGCGUUUAGUUGCUGGGUAUAGACCCGAAACCAGGCGAUCUAUCCAUGAGCAGGUUGAAGGUUGGGUAACACUAACUGGAGGACCGAACCCACUGUCGUUGAAAAGCCAGGGGAUGACUUGUGGAUAGGGGUGAAAGGCUAAUCAAGCCUGGUGAUAGCUGGUUCUCCCCGAAAGCUAUUUAGGUAGCGCCUCGGACGAAUACCAUAGGGGGUAGAGCACUGUUUCGGCUAGGGGGUCAUCCCGACUUACCAAACCGAUGCAAACUCCGAAUACCUAUGAGUACUAUCCGGGAGACAGACUGCGGGUGCUAACGUCCGUAGUCAAGAGGAAAACAAUCCAGACCGCCAGCUAAGGCCCCAAAAUCAUAGUUAAGUGGGAAACGAUGUGGGAAGGCAUAGACAGCUAGGAGGUUGGCUUAGAAGCAGCCACCCUUUAAAGAAAGCGUAAUAGCUCACUAGUCGAGUCGGCCUGCGCGGAAGAUGUAACGGGGCUAAAACUAUGUGCCGAAGCUGCGGAUGUAUACUUUGUAUACGUGGUAGGGGAGCGUUCUGUAAGCCGAUGAAGGUGUGUUGAGAAGCAUGCUGGAGGUAUCAGAAGUGCGAAUGCUGACGUGAGUAACGACAAAACGGGUGAAAAACCCGUUCGCCGAAAGACCAAGGGUUCCAGUCCAACGUUAAUCGGGGCUGGGUGAGUCGACCCCUAAGGCGAGGCCGAAAGGCGUAGUCGAUGGGAAAAUGGUUAAUAUUCCAUUACUUCUGUGUAAUGCGAUGAGAGGACGGAGAAGGCUAAAUCAGCCUGGCGUUGGUUGUCCAGGUGAAAGGAUGUAGGCAUGUAUCUUAGGCAAAUCCGGGGUACUCUAUGCUGAGAUCUGAUAGCAAGCUGUACUUGUACAGCGAAGUGGUUGAUGCCAUGCUUCCAGGAAAAGUCUCUAAGCUUCAGUUACACAGGAAUCGUACCCGAAACCGACACAGGUGGUCAGGUCGAGUAGACCAAGGCGCUUGAGAGAACUCUGCUGAAGGAACUAGGCAAAAUGGUACCGUAACUUCGGGAGAAGGUACGCUGUUGUUGGUGAUGGAACUCGCUUCCUGAGCUGACGACAGCCGCAGAAACCAGGCCGCUGCAACUGUUUAUUAAAAACAUAGCACUCUGCAAACACGAAAGUGGACGUAUAGGGUGUGAUGCCUGCCCGGUGCUGGAAGGUUAAUUGAUGGGGUUAGCGUAAGCGAAGCUCUUGAUCGAAGCCCCAGUAAACGGCGGCCGUAACUAUAACGGUCCUAAGGUAGCGAAAUUCCUUGUCGGGUAAGUUCCGACCUGCACGAAUGGCAUAAUGAUGGCGGCGCUGUCUCCAGCAGAGGCUCAGUGAAAUCGAAAUCGCUGUGAAGAUGCAGUGUACCCGCGGCUAGACGGAAAGACCCCGUGAACCUUUACUGCAGCUUGACACUGAACUUUGACCUUACUUGUGUAGGAUAGGUGGGAGGCUUUGAAGCUGGAACGCUAGUUCCAGUGGAGCCGUCCUUGAAAUACCACCCUGGUAAUGUUGAGGUUCUAACUCUGUCCCGUGAUCCGGGACGAGGACCGUGUCUGGUGGGUAGUUUGACUGGGGCGGUCUCCUCCUAAAGAGUAACGGAGGAGUACGAAGGUGCGCUCAGCGUGGUCGGAAAUCACGCGUAGAGUAUAAAGGCAAAAGCGCGCUUAACUGCGAGACCCACAAGUCGAGCAGGUACGAAAGUAGGUCUUAGUGAUCCGGUGGUUCUGUAUGGAAGGGCCAUCGCUCAACGGAUAAAAGGUACUCUGGGGAUAACAGGCUGAUACCGCCCAAGAGUUCAUAUCGACGGCGGUGUUUGGCACCUCGAUGUCGGCUCAUCUCAUCCUGGGGCUGAAGCAGGUCCCAAGGGUAUGGCUGUUCGCCAUUUAAAGAGGUACGCGAGCUGGGUUUAGAACGUCGUGAGACAGUUCGGUCCCUAUCUACCGUGGGCGCUGGAAAUUUGAGAGGAUCUGCUCCUAGUACGAGAGGACCAGAGUGGACGAACCUCUGGUGUACCGGUUGUGACGCCAGUCGCAUCGCCGGGUAGCUAUGUUCGGAAGGGAUAACCGCUGAAAGCAUCUAAGCGGGAAGCCUACCUCAAGAUAAGAUUUCCCUAGGACUUUAUGUCCUCUAAAGAGCCGUUCGAGACUAGGACGUUGAUAGGUUGGAUGUGGAAGCAUAGUGAUAUGUGAAGCUGACCAAUACUAAUUGCUCGUGAGGCUUGACUAU
rnacentral:rRNA from 1 species